CUCUGGGGGAGGCCACUGUGGCUCUGAAGCCCUUGCGUCCUGCGUGGCUGUAGACUCAGCUCCAGGGGGUCCUGAGCAGCCCCAGAUGAUGCCCAGUUCCAGUCCUGCAGGUGGAGGGUCUAAGUGGCUGAAUUGCACAGGUGAAAUAAAACAUCUGCACAGCCUACAGAAAAUCAUGCUGCUGAGGAGUACGCCACUGAAAUACUAAAGAGGGAAACCACAGCCUCCUGCAUUCUAGAUAACAGGAAAUCUGAGAUUUAGGAUUAAACUGCCUGCUGUUUUGAACAGAAGAGCUGCAGGUUUGAGCUGACUGGCCGCGGUGAACUCCACUUUCCUUGACCCCACUCUGCAAGGCUUCAGACCUCUGUGCUGCGGUCCCAGAGCAGCUUCCAGGUGGAAGACUGUGCAUCGAGGGCUGUGUUCCUUUUCAGUCCCAGCAACAGAAACUCCUGGCACUCUGGUUCCUGAGUGUGUCUGCUGGCCACACAGGUGGUGAUGGAGCAGAGGAGAUUUGAAGAGAGGGAACCAGGUGCAGAGAAAAGGUGAGAGAUCUUUGUCCUGGAGACGCUUAAAGAGAUUUUCACAUGCUUUCUGUGUGGUUAGCUAUGCAAAGGCCCAAGAAUAGCCCGCCACAGAAAUCCACAGCAGAAGGGCAGUUAUUACGCCAGGCGUUGAGUGGGGCUUGUGUUUCCUUGGGCUCUCCCUCCAUGCCCAGCAUCCUGUCCUCACCUCCAGAAGGGCAUAGUUUGCAUGGCAUCCUAGCUGCUUAUUGACUUGUUUUCCUCCCCUGCAUUCCAUAACCUUGUGGAGGGCAGAGCACAUGUAAUUUGACUUUUUAUCCCUGGAAGCUAGCAGAGUAGCUGGUAAUAGUGAGUGUUAAUGUUUGUUUGAUGAAUAAUUAAUGAGUAAACAGGGCUAGGUUAAUGUGACCAUUUCACUGAUGAGGCCAGAGAAAGAAAAGUAACUUGCUGGUCAGGGGAUCAGCAAUGGCUUCCUGGUGCUCUUAUCUGGCCCUUGGCAUAGCCUUGACUCAUUUUUCCUAUUAACUGUUGGCAAUCCCGCCUGGUGUUCUUGCUCCCCAAGUCUUAGCCUGGCACUCUUGGCCUUUCUGUUUUCCUUCCUUGGAGUGCAAUGGACCUGGAUUAGGAAGGGAAGGAUGAGGAGCCUCCUGCUAUGUCUUGCUGAAUGGCUAAUGCAACAGGCAGGAAGCAAGGAGGAAAGAAGGCUCUGUGAGCAGUACCAUGAUAAUGUGAUGAGGUUGGCCCCUAGUUUCACAGACAGACCCCAGGUUCACAGGGGAGGUCAUGUGUCUGAGCACAGCACAGUUGUUUCAAGGUAGAGACUCAAACUCAGCUUUGCUGGUUUUCAGGGGAGUCCCUGACCUUGACCACUACUUCCCAUGGUGGCCACGGAAAGCUGCUGUGUGGAACUGUGUCCUGAGUACCAUGGGACAGGUUGGCCCAGGAGGACUCAAGCAGAGGAGGCUGUGGCCAGUGACAGGGCCAAGUGGGAGGAGGCAAGAGGCUCAGAAGCUAAGCAGCAGCAGGAAGGAGGCCUGGAGGCCCAAAGGCUGAGGCGAAAGAGGAUAGGCAGAGCAUGACCUCUGUGGAUGGGAAAGUGUGCCCUUCCUCCGUUUGGGCCUUUGCAGCCAGGCCUAUUCAGGGUGGUUGCUGCUGCACCCUUGGGCUCUCAAGGGAGCCUGUGCUCUGCCCAAAGGCCAGGAGGACUGGCCAGGGGUCCUGGGGCCAAAGCCCUGCCCCUGGAGCUGUGUUUCCCAGGGCCCGGCAUGUGCCUUUCUGUACCUGUCUCCUCACCUGGCCCUGCAGGGGCUCUGUACCUGUUUCUUGGAAUUGCAGACAAUGGCUGGACAGCAGUGGCACUCUGGGUGCAGAGGCCAUUUCAUUACCAUUGUCCUGUUAUCGAAGGCCCCUGAGCCAGUGCCAUGCCUAGGAGAGUAGCUUUUGUAAAGUGGUGCCAUGAGAUUGUUCUGCCAGAAAGGCCAUGAGUGUGGCCCCUGGUCCUUCCUGAGAGUCAGGCUAGGAGAAAGGGGCAGGGCCUGAGUUCUGGGCUUGGGAUGGAGGGGUUAGAGGGGCUACAGAAAUGAAACAAGGUGGGACGGCUCUGUUCCAGCAGCCACUAGGUCCUCCAGGGACAUGUGUGUACAUGUUUGCUCAUGCCUGUGUGCAUGUGCAUGCACUUAUGUGUAUGGGCCUUGCCUGAGAGUAAGUGUAAGUGUUUGUUCACAUGCACACAUAUGCACACGUGUGCUGGUAUGUGUGCACGUGCACACAUGCAUGUGGGUAUGCAUAUAUGUGCACAGUGCAGUCCAGCUAUACACAAGUGUGCACAGUACACAUGUGUGCAUGCAAUUGUGUGUGCAAGGAGAGCAUGCAAGCACACACACAUACGUGUUUGGGCUUCCAGGUGUGCAUAGAUGUACAGUCCAGGUGUGUGAAUGUGUGUGCAUAUGAGUGUGUGUGUGUGUGUGUGUGGGGCUUCUGGUGGCCCAACAGGAGCCUAGAAGUUGGAGGCUCAGGCUCCCAGGGCCUAGCACCCAGGCUCCCCUGCUCUGCAGACUUGGAAGAAAGGCCUUUGUUUCUUUCCUCUUAAUGUCUUCGAAAAGCUCCUCUGAAAAAUCCUGACCUGGUUUCUGUGCCAUGAGAAAAGAAUGUGUGAUUUCCCUGCCAGGAGGGCUUAGGGCAUUGGAGGGAGGGGGAAAUCUGUCCCAGUCUGGACCCCAUGUUGGGUUCAUCUUCACCUGCUGAUUCUCUUGGUUGCCCCAUUUGUGGAUGGCCAGGCCCAAAAGGGCUGGUGAGCACAGGGAGGGCUGCGAUGGCCCCUCCCUCUCACUGGGUCCUGGCUUGGCUUGUGAGGACGACUGACCUUCCAGUUUCCAUGGCUCCAAGUGCUGCGUUGUUAUCUCUCUUGAUCCUCACGUCCACUCCCUUAGCUUUUUUUUUUAUCGAUGAGAAAACCUGGGCUUCUGGGUUCCGUGACGUUCCCAUAAUCCACAGGGUCAGGACUGAGCUCUGGCUGUCCUACUCCAACUCACCACAUCCUUCCCUCACUCUCUGGUCCUGACUAGGGUGUACACACCGCCAGACACUACCUUCCUUUCUACUCAUUCCUUGUCCCCUUCUUCCCACCAGAGCUGAUGCUUGCAGUCCCUGCUCUGAGCCACAGUCCCCCAGGGAGGCCCAGCUGCUCCUCCCUCUGUCCCCAGGCCUGGCACUGCUGUUCCCUAAGACAUGGCAUGGAGAAGGGCAUGACUCCCCAGGCCUGGUGAAGAUUCACACAGCCUGAUGCUGUCACAGACUGGAGUGUGGUUGACACGGGGGACAGAUGCUUGGCUGCCUGCGGGGCUUGGGCCGCUGCUCAUGGGGGUCUCAGGAGCCCACUUGGGCAGCAAUGCAGAAUGGCAGCUAUUCCCCAUGGCCACCCACUGGUCUGUGCACGUCUGUGUCCUGCGUAGGCUGGGGGGCCCCCAGGGUUGAGGGAGGGAAUCUGCAUGCAGCAUUGACCAGGCAUAAGCCAGGGCCUCCUGGGUCACAGAGGAGGGGGAAACACCACCCUGUGCUGAGGGGACACACCGAGAGAUGCUGCCUGGGUGCAGGGCAUGAGUCAGCCUGGUGAUUGAGCCAGAGCCUUAGGGAACAUGGGCUCUGGACCUGGUACUAGGUUGACUCCCCAUGACACCAUUCAGGGGUGCAAGGCCCUUAUCAGUGGCUGUGCCUCCGUUUUCCCAUCCUUGAACACAGGACCAGAACACAGGUGCUGAGUGCAGAGGGCAGGGCGAGGGUCAGUGCAGCUCCUCAGUGCAGCGCUCGGGGUCUGGGCACCUGGUGGCCACAGUGCGAGUGAUGCAGAGGUUUGGUUGCACCGCAUGGAUUUUGUUUCUUUGCUGAGCCCUAUGCUGGGGUUUUCAUCUUUCCCUGGAAACUCCACUCCAGGUCCCUUCAGUCUGCCUCCCCAGCCUCUCAGACAUCUAUCCUUUCCUCAAGCUGCCAUCUGUCCCACAACUAAGCCAACUGGCUAUAGGGUCACCUGCUGCCAGAACAAAGCUCCCUGCAAGCCGACCUCCACUCUGCAGCUAGCAGUGACCCUCAGGUCAGAAGGAGACCUGAGCCACUGAAGUGGUCCUGCCAGCCACCACCGAACUCAGUGGCCCCUCAUUGCCUUGUUAUGGACCCACAACUUUGCCUUGUGCCCAAGCUAGGCCUCUCUAGCCCCAUGUCUGAGUCCCAUCAACUGCCCACUCCUGGCUCCUGCAGCCUUUCUGCCUGGUGCCCUCCAUGCUUCUGGGACUUCCCAUUUAGCCUUGCCAUACACUGUGCCUGACCAGCCCUAGUGAGCCCUCAGGACAGCUCUUUAGCCCCAGAGCCCUCAGGUUUCCCAAGCAUGCAUUUGCACCUUGCAGAAAUAUCCACUCCCUGGAGCACCACUGGGCUGCCUUAUUCCAGAUGCUGGGGCAUCAGAGCUUUCAGACAGCUGGAAAUUUGGGAGGUGCGUGGUUCCCCCAUGCUGCCCUGGCCCUGGGCUGGGUCUGUGUCUGUGAGAAGCUGCUUGCAUUCUCAGGCUCCUUGGCCAUGGCACCAUGCAUUGUGUGAAUUCAAGUUUGGACAGGAGAUGCAUUUGGGUGCUGUGCUUGCUGCUAGGGACAGAGGGAGGACGCGGGAUCUAGGGGAGUGGGAUCCCCCGGUGUCAUGUGAGGAGCAUAGUGCAUGUUGAUCCUCAUUGCCCCUUACUAGCAGUGUGGCCUCCAGCAAGCUGCUUGACCUCUCUGUUCCAGCUCCCAUCUGGAAAAGGGGUCAGAAUGCUAGCUGCUCACAGAGCCGUUGGGUCACUGUAUUCAUGUGUGUGAUGCAUUCAGAGCCAUGUCUGUGCGUCACAAGGGCUCCGUAUAGAAGUGAAUUCUCCCUGAACAUGGAAUAACAGGGCUCUGAGUAUAGACAGGUCUGAAUUCAAGCCCAACCUCUGCUCACCAAGGAAGUGAAGGACAUGGCUGAGCCUCAGUUUCCUUGUCUGCCUACUGGAAGCCAGGUGAGGACUCUCAGGGCAAGACCUGAACCCUUGGAAUUAGUCAACCAAGAGGAGUGGGCUCACCAGUCUGCCCAGACACCUCCUCCUUCAGGAAGCUGCCCUGUGGUUUUGGCCUUUCUCUCAAACUCCCAUAACACAUCCCUGCACCUCUGAGCAGCCUUAGCUGUAAAUUCCAGCCCUAGCUGACCGGCUCUGUGGCUCCAGACAGCCUGGCCUUGAGUCUCUGUAAUGGGAGAGGUAGACAAGCUCAAACACUGAGACCUGGAAGACUACCUGGCAGUAGGUAGACACCCCAAAACCCAACUUCCUGUGUCUCUGUCUUCCUUUCCAGCCCCCAAUUGGCCUCUCAGCUCAUGAAGGAGCUGAUUCAACUCUGCAGUCCCUGCAGGUGGCAGGUGACAGGGCUGGUGAGUCCACAGAGGAUAUGACACUCUGGGGCAGCUCCCCUUAUUCCCCAGACUCCUUUGCUGGGCACCCCCUCCUUGCCCACCAUGGAAGUUUCCUCUUCUCCCUUGUAGCUGAGGCGCCUUGCCCAACACUGGCCUCUCACCCCAGGGUUGCUUCUCUGGGGAUGACCCUCUACUGUUCAUCCGUCCACUCCUGCCUAGCUGGUGGGUCAUUGUCUAAGGUCAUGGUGCAGAGGGCUUUGGAUAUAUAACUGCUGCUGUGUGGUGCUGCCGUGACUCAGAGUGGCUCGCUUGGGCUGUUGACCCAGGAACAGGGACCCACACUGGGCUGGCCCUGGAGCAGGCCGAGGCAGCCUUCGGCCAGAACCCACGCGGUGUGAGUCAGCACCUGACCCAUCCCUGUCCUCAGAGACCAGCAGACCUGAGUGGUGCAGGGUGUGUGGGGUCCCUUAGGUGAGGAUGAAGGGGCC